AGAGUUUGAUCCUGGCUCAGGACGAACGCUAGCGGCGUGCCUAAGGUAUGCAAGUCGAACGGGGAAGCAAUUCCUAGUGGCGAACGGUCGAGUAACACGUAGACAACCUGCCUCCCAGCGGGGGAUACCAGCGGGAAACCGCUGCUAAUACCGCAUGCGAUCCGGAAGGGCAGCCUUCUUGGAUGAAAGGAGGAGCGCAAGCUCCUUCACUGGGAGAUGGGUCUGCGGCCUAUCAGCUCGUUGGCGGGGUAACGGCCCACCAAGGCGACGACGGGUAGCUGGUCUGAGAGGAUGAUCAGCCGGACGGGGACUGAGACACGGCCCCGACUCCUUCGGGAGGCAGCAAUGAGGAAUCUUGCGCAAUGGGGGCAACCCUGACGCAGCGACGCCGCGUGGGUGAGGAAGUCCUUCGGGAUGUAAAGCCCUUUUCUGGGGGACGAGAACGGACGGUACCCCAGGAAGAAGCCCCGGCUAACUACGUGCCAGCAGCCGCGGUAAUACGUAGGGGGCAAGCGUUGUCCGGAUUUACUGGGCGUAAAGAGCGCGUAGGCGGAAUGGUAAGCGGGGCCGGAAAGCCCCCGGCUCAACCGGGGAAGGGGCCGCGAACUGCCAUUCUUGAGGGGGAGAGGGGAGAGCGGAAUUCCUGGUGUAGCGGUGAAAUGCGUAGAGAUCAGGAGGAACACCAAUGGCGAAGGCAGCUCUCUGGCUUCACCCUGACGCUGAGGCGCGAAAGCGUGGGGAGCGAACGGGAUUAGAUACCCCGGUAGUCCACGCCGUAAACGAUGAUCACUAGGCGUUGGUGGUAUCGACCCCACCAGUGCCGCAGCUAACGCAAUAAGUGAUCCGCCUGGGGAGUACGGCCGCAAGGUUGAAACUCAAAGGAAUUGACGGGGGCCCGCACAAGCGGUGGAGCAUGUGGAUUAAUACGUCACUAACCGUAGAACCUUACCCAGGCUUGACAUCCUCGGAACCGGCCCGAAAAGGCGGGGUGCCUCGCAAGAGGAGCCGAGAGACAGGUGUUGCAUGGCUGUCGUCAGCUCGUGUCGUGAGAUGUUGGGUUAAGUCCCGCAACGAGCGCAACCCUCACUGCCUGUUGCCAGCAUUCAGUUGGGCACUCUGGCGGAACUGCCCGGGUAACCGGGAGGAAGGUGGGGACGACGUCAAGUCAGCAUGGCCCGUACGCCUGGGGCUUCACACAUGCUACAAUGGCCGGUACAAAGGGUCCCGAAGCCGCGAGGUGGAGGCAAUCCCAAAAAGCCGGUCUCAGUUCGGAUCGCAGGCUGCAACUCGCCUGCGUGAAGUCGGAAUCGCUAGUAACCGCCGGUCAGCUAAACGGCGGUGAAUACGUUCCCGGGCCUUGUACACACCGCCCGUCACGUCACCUGAGUCUGUUGCACCCGAAGCCGCUGGCCUAACCCGCAAGGGAAGGAGGCGUCGAAGGUGUGGCCGGUAAGGGGGACGAAGUCGUAACAAGGUAGCCGUAGGGGAACCUGCGGCUG
rnacentral:rRNA from 1 species